UAUUUGUAGACAUACAUUUAGAUUACUCUGCCACUUAGUUUAUGUGUACAAUAAACACAUAAAUUAUAUAAUAAUUAUUGCCCAUUAUAUAUAUGCAAAAUUUGUUAAAUAUAAUAACCAGCUUGCCUGAUAAUUUCUUUAAGUCAGGAUAAAUAAAUACUGCAAACAGCAGAAUAUAACACACAGAUCAGAUAAGACUAAUGAUUACCAUCUGCCCUUCCUUCUAUCUAUGCAUGACUAAUCUGACCUCAUGGGGCAUUCUGGGAUACUGACCGGACUGUUCCAUGUGAUUGUGGUUAUUAAGGGAAUCUGAGCAUGAUACAUUUGUAAAAAAUCAGUUUAGAAGGACAUUGAAACUUUGAUUUUUUACACACUUAUUAUUAUUUUCAAAUUCUACAUUUAUUUAUCAUUUGAUAUGUUUAUACAUUCAAUAAAUGUAAAAAUAUAAUGAUGGGUGUUAUGAUUUUUUUUUUGAUAAUCCCUGUUUCACAUUAUGAUAGACCUGUCCAGACUGAAACCGUUGCAAAAUUUGAAAUCUCAGACAUUCAGUGCUAACCAUAAAGGAUCUAAGUGGCAUUUUAGCUAUUUUGGAGAUAUCAUCUUGUUUUUGAAUGUUGUGUACAUUAUUGUGGAAUUUCAAAGAAAACAUUUAUCUAAAUGUGACAAGAUUGUGGAAUUGUUUGGUUGUUGUAAAAUGAACUAAGAAUGACCUGAGACAGGAAGUUAUGCAAGAAUCAUAGUAAACAGUUUCAGGAACAGCUGUAUGGAUAUGUAAAGUACAGUGAUGACUUCUCAAAAGCCAUCAAGCUCCUGUUCAGAAAACUUUAUAGUGUUGAAGAAUACAGGGGCAGGUGUUUUACUGGCAACAGUACCAACACUAAAACCAAAAGCAAUUAAGGCCAGCAUUGGAGGACACAAUAUUACUGAAAGUCUUUCAUGAGUUGAUCAAGAGAAAAUGGCCAUAAUAAUGUGACUUUUGAAGCUGUCCAGAAAUUGACAUUGACAUUGAUGUUACCAAGAGGAAUAAAAAUUGUUUUAAUAGUUAUAAUAUUUUAUGUUUUGUAUUCUACCAGUGCUACAUAUAGUG